GGGUAUAUAACUCAGUGGUAGAGUGUGUGCUUAGCCUGCAUGAGGUCCUGGGUUCAAUCCCCAGUGCCUCCA
rnacentral:tRNA from 1 species